UACAGAGGUCCCAAGCGUUGUUCGGAUUCACUGGGCGUAAAGGGUGCGUAGGCGGUCGGGUAAGUCUGAUGUGAAAUCUCACAGCUUAACUGUGAAACUGCAUUGGAUACUAUCCGGCUCGAGGAAUGGAGGGGAGACUGGAAUACUUGGUGUAGCAGUGAAAUGCGUAGAUAUCGUAAGGAAGACCAGUGGCGAAGGCGAGUCCCUGGACAACUUCUGACGCUGAGGCACGAAAGCGUGGGGAGCAAACAGG
rnacentral:rRNA from 1 species